rnacentral:rRNA from 1 species
UACGUAGGGUGCAAGCGUUGUCCGGAAUUAUUGGGCGUAAAGAGCUACGUAGGCGGUCUGUCGCGUCGGCUGUGAAAACCCGGAGCUCAACUCCGGGCCUGCAGUCGAUACGGGCAAACUGGAGUGUUGCAGGGGAGAGCUGGAAUUCCGUGGUGUAGCGGUGAAAUGCGCAGAUAUCAGGAGGAACACCGGUGGCGAAGGCGGGUCUCUGGGCAACAACUGACGCUGAGGAGCGAAAGCGUGGGGAGCGAACAGG